ACUCCUACGGGAGGCAGCAGUGGGGAAUAUUGGACAAUGGGCGCAAGCCUGAUCCAGCCAUGCCGCGUGAGUGAUGAAGGCCCUAGGGUUGUAAAGCUCUUUCACCGGUGAAGAUAAUGACGGUAACCGGAGAAGAAGCCCCGGCUAACUUCGUGCCAGCAGCCGCGGUAAUACGAAGGGGGCUAGCGUUGUUCGGAUUUACUGGGCGUAAAGCGCACGUAGGCGGACUAUUAAGUCAGGGGUGAAAUCCCGGGGCUCAACCCCGGAACUGCCUUUGAUACUGGUAGUCUUGAGUUCGAGAGAGGUGAGUGGAAUUCCGAGUGUAGAGGUGAAAUUCGUAGAUAUUCGGAGGAACACCAGUGGCGAAGGCGGCUCACUGGCUCGAUACUGACGCUGAGGUGCGAAAGCGUGGGGGGCAAACAGGAUUAGAUACCCCAGUAGUCCCAUG
rnacentral:rRNA from 1 species